GCACCUGGCUAGUCAUUAUCAGAAAGAGAAUCAGUUAGACAAGCUCCCUAAAGGAAUGGCUGUGAUUCUCCUAGUUCCAGGCCCUGUUGUUCAGGGAUAGCUGUGCAAUCUUUUGGGAAAUCAAAUUUGGAGCCUGAGGCAAUCAUGGAUUCAGAACAGAUGGUCCUGGUACCUCAGUCCUGAAACCAAAUAUAGUGUUUAAGAUGGUCUUUCCACGAAGGAAGAUCCAUUGAACUUGAACUUUGACUUCAAAUGUUUAGAAGCAUGUAGGAGCAGACAAAAGCUCGGGCCUUUCUGUCCCUGCUUCUCUAUCUACACCUAAUGUGUUCUUACCACUUGUGCACUGCACACUCCCUGCUGGGGCCACCUCCUCCCAGAGCCCAGCCAUUGGCUGUCCUCAUUCUUCCUCUCUUGCUCAAGUGACUUAUCUGAUUAUCAUAAGGUCCAAAGCCCAUUAGGCUCCUACACUCACAAGAGACCUUGACUCCUGGCCCUAUGACCUCCUCCAGUCGAAAGCCAAUGAGACUCCCUUCUUGAGCAACUGCUCCCACGUCAUGCUGCUCGCGCUUGCAAAGAAGAAAGGAGAUGAGAAAAGACACAAGGUUAAGACAUUGGAGCUGCUAGCUCUUGGCUUACAGCUGCUCGUGGACAGGAAAAAUUCAAGGCUCCCUGCCCUCAUUGCCGACCAUUGCCCAACCACACCUAAGAAGGAGUGUGCAGCAAGUCCUGCUAGUUUUGGAACCACAAACAGUCUAGAUUGAUUUGUUCUUAUGGCUCAUUGGGUAACUCUGCUGAUCUCUUCCCUCUUUGCCAGGCCAUGAGGCUCCCUGCUGAACCAUGACCCAUCCAGAUAGGCAGGGACAUCAGCCUCUCGGUUCUAAAGAUCUGAGAUGCGCAGUGCAGCCACCAAGUUCAACAGCUCCUUCCAAGGUGUGAUGAGACAUGAGCACAAUCUCUGCUUCCUCGCUUGCCAUCCCCAGAUCUUUCCCAGCACAGUCUUUCUUUCUAAAUCAACCAUGUCACACCAGCUCCAGAUGUGUCUGAGUGAUUGAGUGGUGGCUGGAAAUACUCAGAAUCAAAGUCUGUGACAGUGUCAUUUUGUCAGAUCUGCUUAAAGUUUUGUGUUUGUGGGUUCUGUAAAGAUAUUUAUAUCUAUAGGACAUACAAUGCAAAGAGCUUUAGGGUGCCGCACCUGCACCAUGAACUACCACCAGCUGGUGAACUCAGCUGCCAUAUCAGCCGAGAUCCAGAGUUUUGAGUCAGUCUACCCCAGUCUCCACUACACCUGCCUGCUGCUGGAGGGCCAUGGAGGAGCCAGUGCUGCAGAACCAGACCCAGGAGCCUGGCAUUGCCCUCAAAGUCGGAACCUGAGUAUGGCCAUGACAGGAGAUGGCAGCCGCCCCCAGCAUGGACUGUGAGACCUUGGAGCAGCUCCGAGAAGCCUCAGAGACCCAUGGAGGAUCCAAGGCGAAGAUGCAAUGGCAGAGGAGGAGACUGCAGGGCCUGCAGCAUCCCUAGAACAAGCAAAAACAGCAGGUCCUGUGGAAAGAUGUUUUCAAAAAGUGGACUCGAGAAGUGGGAAGGAAAGAUGGAGGAGUAGAGCCUUGCAUGGGAGAGAACACAGGGCGUGGCACUGCCCACAGAUGGUAAACACACGGUUGUGCCCAGGGAACCUCGGGGUGCUGGGCAUCGAGAGGGAGGGAAGGUGGGUGGAGGACUGGAGUUCGCACAAAUUCUGCCCACCCCACCCCCGGAUACCCCACCUAGCAGCAAGAUCACCCUGACUCUGGACAACCACAGGAUAUCUGAGUCGAGUCCCUGUAAUGGUCCAGUAUAAACAGUGCUUUGGAAAUCAGAAACCUUGAACCAGAUCAAUGACUCAUUGUAGGAAGUCUCAUCCAAAUCAGAUAAGGAGUCUUCUUGGAGACAGGACCUGCACUGCUAUCCGGUCUUCUUGCUGGACCAGGACCUCCCAUCCUGUGGGAAGACACUGCCUGUAUCUUCUUGUGUGGCCGUGGGAUGUGUAGAGGAAAGAACUCAGCAUCUGACAGCUCUGACGUCAGUUGUAGCCACUUCACAGAGUCACUUCUUCACAGUAUGGAGAAGCCCAGACCAGUUUGACAAGUGACACAUUGCCCAGUCGCAGAUCCACAGAGAAGAGUCUUUUGGCUGAUAUGAUAGCAGCGUAUCACAGACACAUCAGUGCCCCAUGCGCGACCUGCAGAAUGUCUCCAUGGAGCCCUCAUCAAAUUACAGAAAUGUCAAGCAUUCCUGGAAACCCAUCCGAAAUGCUGAUUCAGCAAAACCUCUCAGGACCACAGACCCAGAACCAGGGGGCCCUCUCUGUGCUAUUUGUUCCUCCUGAUGCUUAUCUGACACCAUGUCAUAUUGCAGUUAGCUCGUACCUUUCUUAUGCUACGUCUUCAUUGUGCAAGCUUCAGCCUGUGCCACAUUUCCCCGGGAUGUAGGAAGCUCUUACUGCACAGCUGUUCAAGAGAACUGUAUUACAUGAUUCAUUGCGUCACCACCCUCAAAACAUCCCCAGUACCAGGCUUCGCCCAACUCAGCCCAGGUCCCUGGACCCUUCUGUAUCGGUUCCUUUUCUAUUGCUGUGAUAAAACACCAGGACCAAGGCAACAAGGUUUUGUUUGGACUCGUGACUUCAGAGAAAUGAGCAUCCAUCACUAUCAUGGUUGGAAAGAGUGACAGCAGGGAAUUAUGGUGGCCUAAGCAGAGAGCACACUCUUCAACUGCUCUGAAACCUCAAAGCCUGCCCCUGGACAUCUUCCCUCCAUCAAGGCUUCACCUCCUAACAGCUUCAACCUCCAUCAAACAGCUCCACCAAUUGGGUACUAAGUAUUCAAAUAUCUGAGCCUAUGGAAGACAUGCUUUCUCCAACCGCCACACCCUCUGACUGCAGGUCCUAAGGGCUUUACUAACGCACAGACCCACCCAGCCUGGCCUCAUCACAGCUCCGCCACCUCCACAGACAGGCCUGCCAUCCGACAGGCAACUUUCUUCUUGUUUCCGCUUGCCCUGUGGUUGGUGUACCCCACGUUAUAACCUUCCCCAACUCUUUGCCUAAAUUCCCCCUCCCUAAAAUUCAAGAGCUAAGCUGAAAUAAAAGGAAAAUCCAACUGAAAAGUUGGAGAAGGGUUUUUCAGUAAA